UAUAAAUACAGUUGUAAGUUUCCGUGUUUAAUAUUUGACUGUUUUUCUUAUUUAAAAAAAUUGUGAUUAGUAUUUUUAUUGUUAUUAGAUGAUAAAACAUAAAUAAUACUUUAUGUGUGACUAAUUUUUUUAUAAAUUUUUUUUAAAUAAGACGUAUGUCAAAUGUUAAAUAAGAAAACUCACAUCCGCACUUAAC
rfam:Oryza glaberrima chromosome 9 Oglab09_0151_12, whole genome shotgun sequence.